ACAUUUCGACACUUCUGGCAGUGGCCGUCAGCAUCUUCCGUUAGGAAACCGUUGGAACACAGGCGAAAUAAACCAUCAGUCACUUUCCGAUCUCGGCGUGUCAUUCAAGGUUUGCCAGUCAGGGCUAUAUAAUAUCAAUAAUAAUAUUAGAUUAACAAUAGUAAAUAGUAUAUGUAGUCCACUCCAGUCCUCUGAAGAUCAUGACAAGUCGCCUGGUCCAACAUGGCGGCGACGUUGACGUACGCUCAGUUGCAAGGUAUUUGAAAACGACCGGUUUGGACAACAAAACUGUAGCCUGAGAAUAAACCCCCGACUCAAAGGAUGUCAACUGCACUAAAAAGUGCACAAAGAAGAAGAACAAUUUCAGUUUAUUUUUCGCUUCACGUGUGCGCGCUCCCGCGAGGGGCGGGUAAAACUCGGCAAAGCUCUGCAGGAACAAGAGGGAAGUGUGGAUCGGCUGUGGAUCGAGACGUCGGAGAAGUGAAGAUUUGUCCGGUCAGAAGAAGCUGCUCUGCUCUCUGAAGGUCUGCUGUCUGUCGUCCACAUCACCGAUGAUUGAAUGAGUUUGAGAGAUCGCUGGAGAUCACAGACACUCACGUCCCUCAUCUCUCUGUCUUCUGCCUUGAGUAGGGGAUGGCGUUUUUAUGGAGGUGGUUUAACAACUUGAUGCAAAUUCGUGGCCAAGUUUUGUUGUUCCUCCGACCACCAAACCCCAAAACACAGAGGCAAAAACUGAAUGUGUUUCUCCUGCCAAACAACGUCCCUCUGGAAGAGGUGAAAAUAAAACAAAUGCAUUCUGUGUUCAUCGAAACGUCUUCUGGAUGCAGACUCAUCAGUCAGCAAAGUUACAGUGUUCACUGUCCGGAGGCCUAUGAAAUCCAGCCUCAUAUAGCAGAGUGCAACUUGGAUUAUGGACCAAAUUACCAUCCAACUUUUGAGAUCUUCCUGCCUGCAAACAUAGAAGAGGUGACUAUAACGCUCCAAGACCCAGGAAAUGCAGAUGUCUGGAAGCGUCGUGUUAAGCUGACUGGUUAAGCCUUCAUGCACCUGAACCAUGACUCCACCAGAAAGUAGAACAGAAAAUAACAGAAUAUAGUAAUAGUUAUUGAUUGAUCCAUGGUGCAUUUGUUCUUGUUCUGCCUUAGAUUAUCUUCAUGAGGGAUGGGAAUCGAGAACCAGAUCCAAAUUGUCCAAACCAUUGGAAUUGUAUGCCCCCCAAGUUUAUCAAUUCCUGGUAGGAAUUGAUAAGCACAAGUGAAAUAGUACAAAGAAACUAAGGAAAAUCAAAGGCCAAAACUGGGCUCCAAGACUGUGCCGGACUGACUGUAGCAAUAUAUCCCCAUGCAGACUGAUUUGUAACAGCAGGCACACUAACAAUUAUGCAGACAUAUGUCAUGUAACUAUUACCAUCUGAGUUCAUGCCUCAUCAGCAUGUUAUGAGUUUGUUGGUAGUCAUGUAAGGGAGGAAAAACUGACAGGAUUAUUGGUUUAGAAUAUAAUCCUUCUAGGAAAUCUGUGUUGUAUUGGAUUGUUCUUAUGGGGAAAAUAAUAUUUGGAAUUAAAAACAGCCAUAACCCAGUCCAGUCCGGUCCUAUGUGAAGGAAACAGCGGCCGAGAGAAGCAGACUUACCUGCAGUUCUGGAAUUGCAGGUGAACCUGGUUAAGCCACUGCCAAGGAAUGCAGUUCUGUCAGGGUUUUGAGUGAAAAUAAACCAAGCGCUCCUUGCUCCUCCCCUUAAAGACCCACCCCCACCUCUACGCCAAAGCGGUGAGAGAAAGUUGAAACUGAAAAAAUAGUGACAGUGCCAGUAAAACAUUUUCCAAUACAACUUUUUCAAUGCCGUUUCCUCUUUCAGCUCAGGUUUUGUUUUCAAUGUCAAAAUGUUACUGUCACUGUUCAAGCCCCUUAUUUUCUCCAGACACAAGUGUGUACCUCUGCAUCUGUGGGAUUGUCCUCAUAGAAUCUGCCACCACAUAACAACUGGGACAUAAAGUAUCUGGUACACACUUGUGUGUGAGGGCUCGAGGCAACUCAGUUUGAUUGUAUUCUGUGUUGGCACAAAUAAAUCUACAUGAAUAACUUCA